GGCGAACGCUAGCGGCGCGCCUAACACAUGCAAGUCGUGCGGGAAAGGGCUUCGGCCCCAGUACCGCGGCAGACGGGUGAGUAACACGUGAGUAACCUGUCCUCGGGUCUGGGAUAACCACCCGAAAGGGUGGCUAAUACCGGAUAAAGUCACCGGGCGCAAGCUCGGUGAUGAAAGGGGGCCUCUGCAUAGCAAGCUCCUGCCUGAGGAGGGGCUCGCGGCCCAUCAGGUAGUUGGUGGGGUAACGGCCUACCAAGCCUAUGACGGGUAGCCGGCCUGAGAGGGUGGCCGGCCACAGUGGGACUGAGACACGGCCCACACCCCUACGGGGGGCAGCAGUGGGGAAUCGUGGGCAAUGGGCGAAAGCCUGACCCCGCGACGCCGCGUGGGGGAUGAAGCCCUUCGGGGUGUAAACCCCUGUCGGGGGGGACGAUGUGUCCUGGGGUGAAUAAUCCCAGGGCAUGACGGUACCCCCAGAGGAAGGGACGGCUAACUACGUGCCAGCAGCCGCGGUAAUACGUAGGUCCCGAGCGUUGCGCGAAUUCACUGGGCGUAAAGCGUCCGCAGCCGGACGGGUAAGCGGUGCGUCAAAGCCCACCGCUCAACGGUGGAACGGCGUACCGAACUGCCUGUCUUGAGGCACGCUCAGGCAGGCGGAAUUCCCGGUGUAGCAGUGAAAUGCGUAGAUAUCGGGAGGAACACCGAAGGCGAAGGCAGCCUGCUGGAGCUGUCCUGACGGUCAGGGACGAAAGCUGGGGGAGCAAACCGGAUUAGAUACCCGGGUAGUCCACGCUGUAAACGAUGGGUGCUAGGUCUGGGGAGGUAAUCUCUCCGGGCCGAAGCUAACGCGUUAAGCACCCCGCCUGGGGAGUACGGCCGCAAGGCUGAAACUCAAAGGAAUUGACGGGGGCCCGCACAAGCGGUGGAGCACGUGGUUUAAUUCGAUGCAGAGCGAAGAACCUUACCCGGGCUUGACAUGCCAGGGUUGUACCCCGGUGGAAACACUGGGGGGGCGUGGGGUUUUCUCACGCGCUCUGGCACAGGUGCUGCAUGGCUGUCGUCAGCUCGUGUCGUGAGAUGUUGGGUUAAGUCCCGCAACGAGCGCAACCCCUGCCCUUAGUUGCUACCCCGAAUGGGGAGCACUCUAAGGGGACUGCCGGCGAUAAGCCGGAGGAAGGUGGGGAUGACGUCAGGUCAGUAUGCCCUUUAUGCCCGGGGCAACACAGGCGCUACAGUGGCCAGGACAAUGGGAUGCGACCCAGUAAUGGGGAGCAAAUCCCCCAAACCUGGUCAUGGUGCAGAUUGAGGGCUGAAACUCGCCCUCAUGAAGCCGGAAUCGGUAGUAAUGGCGGAUCAGCUAAGCCGCCGUGAAUACGUUCUCGGGCCUU
rnacentral:rRNA from 1 species